rnacentral:lncRNA from 1 species
AACAUGUUGGAUCACCAAAUUCACCUUUGGAAGGUCAUUCUCCAAACGCACCCAAUGAAAAUGGUUCGUCGUUCCUACCACAUUCUCCAUCAUCGUCACCUGGUCAAGAAGAAAGUGUGGAGAGUCCUUCAGGUUCCGCUAGGGAAACACCUACAAACGAAGCAAGUUUCAUUGGAAGAUCACCAAAUAAUGAAGAUCAUUUGAAAACAUCAAGUGGGGCUCCUUCGUCAACACCUACAAUUGGAAAAUCAAUUCCAUCGUUGGAACCACAACAAGAAGACAUGGCAUCUCCUCAACCAGUUUCUUCUCGACUAACACCGACAAAUAAUGAAAAUCGUGUGAAACGAAAGGGUCAAACAACAACUCAACAUGUUGGAUCACCAAAGACACCUUCGGAAGGUCAUUCUCCAAACGCACCCAAUGAAAAUGUUUCGUCGUUCCUACCACAUUCUCCAUCAUCGUCACCUGGUCAAGAAGAAAGUGUGGAGAGUCCUUUAGGUUCCGCUAGGGAAACACCUACAAACGAAGCAAGUUUCAUUGGAAGAUCACCAAAUAAUGAAGAUCAUUUGAAAAUAUCAAGUGGGGCUCCUUCUUCAACACCUACAAUUGGAAAAUCAAUUCCAUCGUUGGAACCACAACAAGAAGACAUGGCAUCUCCUCAACCAGUUUCUUCUCGACUAACACCGACAAAUAAUGAAAAUCGUGUGAAACGAAAGGGUGAAACAACAACUCAACAUGUUGGAUCACCAAAGACACCUUCGGAAGGUCAUUCUCCAAACGCAGCCAAUGAAAAUGGAUCGUCGUUCCUACCACAUUCUCCAUCAUCGUCACCUGGUCAAGAAGAAAGUGUGGAGAGUCCUUUAGGUUCCGCUAGGGAAACACCUACAAACGAAGCAAGUUUCAUUGGAAGAUCACCAAAUAAUGAAGAUCAUUUGAAAACAUCAAGUGGGGCUCCUUCUUCAACACCUACAAUUGGAAAAUCAAUUCCAUCGUUGGAACCACAACAAGAAGACAUGGCAUCUCCACAAACAGGAUCUCCUCGACUAACACCGACAGAUAAUAAAAAUCAUGUGAAACGAAAGGGUCAAACAACAACGCAACAUGUUAGAUCACCAAAUUCACCUUUGGAAGGUCAUUCUCCAAACGCACCCAAUGAAAAUGGUUCGUCGUUCCUACCACAUUCUCCAUCAUCGUCACCUGGUCAAGAAGAAAGUGUGGAGAGUCCUUCAGGUUCCGCUAGGGAAACACCUACAAACGAAGCAAGUUUCAUUGGAAGAUCACCAAAUAAUGAAGUACAUUUGAAAACAUCAAGUGGGGUUCCUUCGUCAACACCUACAAUUGGAAAAUCAAUUCCAUCGUUGGAACCACAACAAGAAGACAUGGCAUCUCCUCAACCAGUUUCUUCUCGACUAACACCGACAAAUAAUGAAAAUCGUGUGAAACGAAAGGGUGAAACGACAACGCAACAUGUUGGAUCACCAAAUUCACCUUUGGAAGGUCAUUCUCCAAACGCACCCAAUGAAAAUGGUUCGUCGUUCCAACCACAUUCUCCAUCAUCGUCACCUGGUCAAGAAGAAAGUGUGGAGAGUCCUUCAGGUUCCGCUAGGGAAACACCUACAAACGAAGCAAGUUUCAUUGGAAGAUCACCAAAUAAUAAUGAAGAUCAUUUGAAAACAUCAAGUGGGGCUCCUUCGUCAACACCUACAAUUGGUAAAUCAAUUCCAUCGUUGGAACCACAACAAGAAGACAUGGCAUCUCCACAAACAGGAUCUCCUCGACGAACACCGACAGAUAAUAAAAAUCAUGUGAAACGAAAGGGUCAAACAACAACGCAACAUGUUAGAUCACCAAAUUCACCUUUGGAAGGUCAUUCUCCAAACGCACCCAAUGAAAAUGGUUCGUCGUUCCUACCACAUUCUCCAUCAUCGUCACCUGGUCAAGAAGAAAGUGUGGAGAGUCCUUCAGGUUCCGCUAGGGAAACACCUACAAACGAAGCAAGUUUCAUUGGAAGAUCACCAAAUAAUGAAGAUCAUUUGAAAACAUCAAGUGGGGCUCCUUCGUCAACACCUACAAUUGGAAAAUCAAUUCCAUCGUUGGAACCACAACAAGAAGACAUGGCAUCUCCUCAACCAGUUUCUUCUCGACUAACCCCGACAAAUAAUGAAAAUCGUGUGAAACGAAAGGGUGAAACAACAACUCAACAUGUUGGAUCACCAAAGACACCUUUGGAAGGUCAUUCUCCAAACGCACCCAAUGAAAAUGGAUCGUCGUUCCUACCACAUUCUCCAUCAUCGUCACCUGGUCAAGAAGAAAGUGUGGAGAGUCCUUCAGGUUCCGCUAGGGAAACACCUACAAACGAAGCAAGUUUCAUUGGAAGAUCACCAAAUAAUAAUGAAGAUCAUUUGAAAAUAUCAAGUGAGGCUCCUUCGUCAACACCUACAAUUGGUAAAUCAAUUCCAUCGUUGGAACCACAACAAGAAGACAUGGCAUCUCCACAAACAGGAUCUCCUCGACUAACACCGACAGAUAAUGAAAAUCAUGUGAAACGAAAGGGUCAAACAACAACGCAACAUGUUGGAUCACCAAAGACACCUUUGGAAGGUCAUUCUCCAAACGCACCCAAUGAAAAUGGAUUGUCGUUCCUACCACAUUCUCCAUCAUCGUCACCUGGUCAAGAAGAAAGUGUGGAGAGUCCUUCAGGUUCCGCUAGGGAAACACCAACAAACGAAGCAAGUUUCAUUGGAAGAUCACCAAAUAAUGAAGAUCAUUUGAAAACAUCAAGUGGGGCUCCUUCGUCAACACCUACAAUUGGAAAAUCAAUUCCAUCGUUGGAACCACAACAAGAAGACAUGGCAUCUCCUCAACCAGUUUCUUCUCGACUAACACCGACAAAUAAUGAAAAUCGUGUGAAACGAAAGGGUGAAACAACAACUCAACAUGUUGGAUCACCAAAUUCACCUUUGGAAGGUCAUUCUCCAAACGCACCCAAUGAAAAUGGUUCGUCGUUCCAACCACAUUCUCCAUCAUCGUCACCUGGUCAAGAAGAAAGUGUGGAGAGUCCUUUAGGUUCCGCUAGGGAAACACCUACAAACGAAGCAAGUUUCAUUGGAAGAUCACCAAAUAAUGAAGAUCAUUUGAAAACAUCAAGUGGGGCUCCUUCGUCAACACCUACAAUUGGUAAAUCAAUUCCAUCGUUAGAACCACAACAAGAAGACAUGGCAUCUCCACAAACAGGAUCUCCUCGACUAACACCGACAGAUAAUAAAAAUCAUGUGAAACGAAAGGGUCAAACAACAACGCAACAUGUUAGAUCACCAAAUUCACCUUUGGAAGGUCAUUCUCCAAACGCACCCAAUGAAAAUGGUUCGUCGUUCCUACCACAUUCACCAUCAUCGUCACCUGGUCAAGAAGAAAGUGUGGAGAGUCCUUCAGGUUCCGCUAGGGAAACACCUACAAACGAAGCAAGUUUCAUUGGAAGAUCACCAAAUAAUAAUGAAGAUCAUUUGAAAACAUCAAGUGAGGCUCCUUCGUCAACACCUACAAUUGGUAAAUCAAUUCCAUCGUUGGAACCACAACAAGAAGACAUGGCAUCUCCACAAACAGGAUCUCCUCGACUAACACCGACAGAUAAUAAAAAUCAUGUGAAACGAAAGGGUCAAACAACAACGCAACAUGUUAGAUCACCAAAUUCACCUUUGGAAGGUCAUUCUCCAAACGCACCCAAUGAAAAUGGUUCGUCGUUCCUACCACAUUCUCCACCAUCGUCACCUGAUCAUGAAGAAAUUGUGGAGAGUCCUUCAGGUUCUGCUAGGGAAACACCUACAAACGAAGCAAGUUUCAUUAGAAGAUCACCAAAUAAUGAAGAUCAUUUGAAAACAUCAAGUGGGGCUCCUUCGUCAACACCUACAAUUGGUAAAUCAAUUCCAUCGUUGGAACCAAAACAAGAAGACAUGGCAUCUCCUCAAACAGGAUCUCCUCUGCCAACACCGACAAAUAAAGAAAAACGUGUGAAACGAAAGGGUCAAACGACAACGCAACAUGUUGGAUCACGAAAUUCACCUUUGGAAGGUGAUUCUCCAAACGCACCCAAUGAAAAUGGUUCGUCGUUUCAACCACAUUCUCCAUCAUCGUCACCUGACCAUGAAGAAAGUGUGGAGAGUCCUUCAGGUUUUGGUAGGGAAACACCUACAAACGAAGCAAGUUUCAUUGGAAGAUCACCAAAUAAUGAAGUUCAUUUGAAAACAUCAAGUGGGGCUCCUUCGUCAACACCUACAAUUGGACAAUCAAUUCCAUCGUUGGAACCACAACAAGAAGAUAUGGCAUCUCCACAACCAGUUUCUUCUCGACUAACACCGACAAAUAAUGAAAAUCGUGUGAAACGAAAGGGUCAAAUAACAACUCAACAUGUUGGAUCACCAAAGACACCUUUGAAAGGUCAUUCUCCAAACGCACCCAAUGAAAAUGGUUCGUCGUUCCAACCACAUUCUCCAUCAUCGUCACCUGACCACGAAGAAAGUGUGGAAAGUCCUUCAGGUUUUGGUAGGGAAACAAGUACAAACGAAGCAAGUUUAAUUGGAAGAUCACCAAAUAAUGAAGAUCAUUUGAAAACAUCAAGUGGGGCUCCUUCGUCAACACCUACAAUUGGAAAAUCAAUUCCAUCAUUGGAACCCCAACAAGAAGACAUGACAUCUCCACAUAUCGGAUCUCCUCGACCAACACCGACAAGCAAUGAAAAUCGUGUGAAACGAAAGGGUCAAACAACAACGCAACAUGUUGGAUCACCAAAGACAUCUUUCGAAGGUCAUUCUCCAAAUGCACCCAGUGAAAAUGGUAAAUCCUUCCAACCAAAGACACCUUUGGAAGGACAUUCUCCAAAUGCACCCAAUGAAAAUGGUUCGUCGUUCCAACCACAUUCUCCUUCAUCGUCACCUGAUCACGAAGAAAGUGAGGAGAGUCCUUCAGGUUCUGCUAGUGGAACACCUACAAAUGAAGCAAGUUCCAUUGGAAGAUCUCCAAAUAAUGAAGAUCAUUUGAAAACAUCAAUUGAGGCUCCUUCGUCAAAACCUACAAUUGGUAAAUGGAUUCCAUCGUUGGAACCACAACAAGAAGACAUGACAUUUCCACAAACCGGAUCUCCUCGACUAACACCUACAAAUAAUGAAAAUCGUGUGAAACGAAAGGGUCAAACAACAACGCAACAUGUUGGAUCACCAAAGACACCUUUGGAAGGUCGUUCUCCAAAUGUACCCAAUGAAAAUGGUUCGUUGUUCCAACCACAUUCUCCAUCAUUGUCACCUGACCACGAAAAAAGUGUGGAAAGUCCUUCAGGUUUUGCUAGGGAAACCCCUACAAAUGAAGCAAGUUUUAUUGGAAGAUCACCAAAUAAUGAAGUACAUUUGAAAACUUCAAGUGGUGCUCCUUCGUUAACACCGGAAAUUGGUAAAUCGAUUCCAUCGUUGGAGCCUCAACAAGAAGACAUGGCAUCUCCACAGAUAGGAUCUCCUCUGCCAACACCGACAAAUAAUGAAAAUCGUGUGAAACGAAAGGGUCAAACAACAUCGCAACAACAUGUUGGAUCACCAAAGACACCUUUGGAAGGUCAUUCUCCAAAUACAUCCAAUGAAAAUGGUUCGCCUUUCCAACCACAUACCCCAUCAUCGUCACCUGACCACAAAGAAAGUGUGGAGAGUCCUUCAGGUUCUGCUAGGGAAACACCAACAAAUGAAGCAAGUUUCAUUGUAAGAUCACCAAAUAAUGAAGAACAUUUGAAAACUUCAAGUGGUGCUCCUUCGUUAACACCUGAAAAUGGUAAAUCGAUUCCAUCGUUGGAGCCACAACAA